UGGGGAAUUUUGGACAAUGGGCGAAAGCCUGAUCCAGCAAUGCCGCGUGUGUGAAGAAGGCCUUCGGGUUGUAAAGCACUUUUGUCCGGAAAGAAAUCCUUGGCUCUAAUACAGUCGGGGGAUGACGGUACCGGAAGAAUAAGCACCGGCUAACUACGUGCCGGCAGCCGCGGUAAUACGUAGGGUGCAAGCGUUAAUCGGAAUUACUGGGCGUAAAGCGUGCGCAGGCGGUUUGCUAAGACCGAUGUGAAAUCCCCGGGCUCAACCUGGGAACUGCAUUGGUGACUGGCAGGCUAGAGUAUGGCAGAGGGGGGUAGAAUUCCACGUGUAGCAGUGAAAUGCGUAGAGAUGUGGAGGAAUACCGAUGGCGAAGGCAGCCCCCUGGGCCAAUACUGACGCUCAUGCACGAAAGCGUGGGGAGCAAACAGGAUUAGAUACCCUGGUAGUCCACGCCCUAAACGAUGUCAACUAGUUGUUGGGGAUUCAUUUCCUUAGUAACGUAGCUAACGCGUGAAGUUGACCGCCUGGGGAGUACGGUCGCAAGAUUAAAACUUAAAGGAAUUGACGGGGUCAUAGCUGUUUCCU
rnacentral:rRNA from 1 species